ACAACAACAAACACUUCUAAAAGCUAAUUUAUACACUAUGGAGGGAAUUGAGAGAGACUCGGAUAACAAUACCAGUCUCUAUUAGGCCUACACACGAAUCAAGAGACAGGCGAAUAUAAACGCUGCUCAACAAUAGUCCAGACGUCUGUGCAAUGUAUGGAUGACUUCGGUCAAAUUGGGAAGAAAUGGACAGAUGAACGAGGGAGGCUCUGGGAUUAUGACUUCACGGCAAGUUAAAACUGAAGAUGCACAGUCGCAUACAUCUUCAUCACUGGGCUGGCAUCAACUCAUCUUGAUGGAACAGGGUUCCUUGAGGCAGUACAUGCUACACUACAUCUUCUCCCAGCACUUCCCCUGUUAGAAGCUACUGCUGAUAAUGGACAUCAGGGAUGUCCAUCACAGCCCCAUUAAACCUUAGCAGAUGUUGAUCAGAGAGAUAGGCGGGGUGGAGGGAGCAGAAGGCUGAUAAGGUGAAAGAGGAGGCUAUGAUGGCAGAGGAGACAUGGAGUGAGGAGUCAGGAACUGGUAAAGGAAAGAGCGAGAGAGCUGUAGUUGUUCUGACAGGUUUCCAGAAGGUUCUGAUGAUCAUUGGGAGUUUCGAGUAGAAAUGAUAACAGGGUUUUUUGCCAUGAAGCUUUAACUUUGGCUUCAUACGUCGGUUUUCUCUGCACUGCUACCUUCAGCUUG